GAGGGAGAGCAGGAGAGGGAGGGAGGGAGGGGAGGGGAGGGUAAAGGGGGCUAUGAAAAGCCAUGGCAGGUACCUGUAAAUGAACCAGACGCUCCUAUUCACAGGGCCGAGCGAUGGCCAGGAAGAAGAGAGGGAGAGGGAGAGGGAGAGAUCCUCCUCGCCGCAUGCCCCCAUCGCCAUUCCUCCCCUCCCUCUCCUCUCCUCCUCCUUCUCCUGCUCCUUCUCCUUCUCGUCUU